rnacentral:rRNA from 1 species
GAUGAACGCUGGCGGCGUGCCUAAUACAUGCAAGUCGAGCGAACGGACGAGAAGCUUGCUUCUCUGAUGUUAGCGGCGGACGGGUGAGUAACACGUGGAUAACCUACCUAUAAGACUGGGAUAACUUCGGGAAACCGGAGCUAAUACCGGAUGAUAUUUUGAACCGCAUGGUUCAAUAGUGAAAGACGGUCUUGCUGUCACUUAUAGAUGGAUCCGCGCUGCAUUAGCUAGUUGGUAAGGUAACGGCUUACCAAGGCAACGAUGCAUAGCCGACCUGAGAGGGUGAUAGGCCACACUGGAACUGAGACACGGUCCAGACUCCUACGGGAGGCAGCAGUAGGGAAUCUUCCGCAAUGGGCGAAAGCCUGACGGAGCAACGCCGCGUGAGUGAUGAAGGUCUUCGGAUCGUAAAACUCUGUUAUGAGGGAAGAACAGAUGUGUAAGUAACUGUGCACAUCUUGACGGUACCUAAUAAGAAAGCCACGGCUAACUACGUG